GACAGAGGUGCCGAGCGUUAGGCGGAAUCACUGGGCUUAAAGCGUGUGUAGGCGGACUUCUAAGUACCUUGUGAAAUCCCACGGCUCAACCGUGGAACUGCUUGGUAUACUGGUCGUCUUGAGCCAUCUAGGGGCUGUCGGAACAAAUGGUGGAGCGGUGAAAUGCGUAGAUAUCAUUUGGAACGCCAAAGGUGAAAACAGACAGCUGGGGAUGUGCUGACGCUGAGACACGAAGCCAGGGAGCGAACGGG
rnacentral:rRNA from 1 species